AAUUGAACUAGAAUCAAUGAUAAAAAAUCUAGAAGAAAUUUUUUAGCCCGAACUUUAAAUCAAACAAUAAAUAAUACAAUCUACAAAAAUAUCAAGAACGAAAGAAACAUAGCAGUAUUUCAGUAAAUACCUUAUGGGGCAGUUAGACCAAAGAAAUAGAGCUCCAAACACAAAAUAGCCUACAAAGAACAAUGGAACCCA
rnacentral:lncRNA from 1 species